AAAGAUUAAGCCAUGCAUGUCUCAGUAUAAGCAACUUGUACUUGUGAAACUGCGAAUGGCUCAUUAAAUCAGUUAUAAUUUAUUUGAUAAUGGUUUACUACAUGGAUAGCCGUAGUAAUUCUAGAGCUAAUACAUGCGUAAAGACCUGACUCGCGAGGGAAGGGUUGUAUUUAUUAGAUCGAAAACCAGCAGGAUCUGAUGGCAACAUUGGGUCCAUAAAAAGUUGGUGAUUCAUGAUAAUUGUCGAAUCGGAGUUUACUCUGAUGUAUCAUUCAAAUUUCUGCCCUAUCAACUGUGGAUGGUAGGAUAGAGGCCUACCAUGGUUUUGACGGGUAACGGAGAAUUAGGGUUCGAUUCCGGAGAGGGAGCCUGAGAGAUGGCUACCACUUCCAAGGAAGGCAGCAGGCGCGCAAAUUACCCAAUCCCAAUUAUCUUGGGGAGGUAGUGACAAAAAAUAAUAAUGCAGGGUGCGAAAGUACUUUUGCAAUUGUAAUGGUCCGAAUGUAAAUGGUUCGGAGAGCAGCCAUUAGAGGGCAAGUCUGGUGCCAGCAGCCGCGGUAAUUCCAGCUCUAAUAGUGUAUACUAAAAUUGCUGCAGUUAAAAAGCUCGUAGUUGGAUUUUGGAGGGGUCAGUUUGUCCUCGUGUCUGGGAGGUUAAUUCUAAAUUAAUCUCUUUGCUGUUAUUCGUUGAGUCAUGUACAGAUGUAUCUUAUGUCUGUAUUGUUGAUUCGGUCUAAUGGUCGCGGGGAUUGAUUCUUCCGUUAUUUUCGGAGCUUUCUGGUCCUCUUAAUUGAGUGGCUGGAGUGAUUCGGAGGUUUUACUUUGAAGAAAAUGGAGUGUUCAAAGCAGGCGAGUACGCAGCUGAACACAUUAGCAUGGAAUAAUAAAAUAGGACAUCUGUGGAUUUCUUUCCGGCAAUAAGCUUCUUUUUUGAUUAUCUUUCCGGUUUAGAUUCAUGAUCUUCAUGUUUCUUUAUUAUGGGGGAUUCAAAGGAGGUCUGUCUUGUUGUUAUAGGGGGGAUUCUAUCUUGUAUAUCCAUUUUGUUGGUUCAUGGAGCAGGUGUAAUGAUUAAUAGGGACAGUUGGGGGCAUCCGUAUUGCAUUGUCAGAGGUGAAAUUCUUGGAUUUAUGCAAGACGAACUAGUGCGAAAGCAUUUGCCAAGGAUGUUUUCAUUAAUCAAGAACGAAAGUAGGGGAUCGAAGGCGAUCAGAAACCGCCGUAGUCUUAACUAUAAACUAUACCAACUAGGGAUUGGAGGGCGUCUACAUAUGGCCCCGUCAGCACCUUUAGAGAAAUCAAAGUCUCUGGGUUCUGGGGGGAGUAUGGUCGCAAGGCUGAAACUUAAAGAAAUUGACGGAAGGGCACCACCAGGUGUGGAGCCUGCGGCUUAAUUUGACUCAACACGGGGAAACUUACCAGGUCCAGACACGGGAAGGAUUGACAGAUUGAUAGCUCUUUCUUGAUUCCGUGGGUGGUGGUGCAUGGUCGUUCUUAGUUGGUGGAGUGAUUUGUCUGGUUAAUUCCGAUAACGAACGAGACCUCAACCUGCUAACUAGACGGGCAACGGGUUUUAUUAUUCGAUGCCUAUUAACUUGUGUGGUGGGCAACUAUCGCAUAGGUUUUGUCUUCUUAGAGGGACUACCAUGGUUGCACAUGGUGGAAGCAUGAGGCAAUAACAGGUCUGUGAUGCCCUUAGAUGUCCUGGGCCGCACGCGCGCUACACAGACACAACCAACAAGCUUGUCCUGUCCCGAAAGGGUUGGGUAAUCUUUUUAAAUUGUGUCGUGCUGGGGAUUGAUCUUUGUAAUUUUGGAUCAUGAACGAGGAAUACCUAGUAAGCGCAAGUCACCAGCUUGCGCCGAUUACGUCCCUGCCCUUUGUACACACCGCCCGUCGCUCCUACCGAUUGAAUGAUCAGACGAAAUGUUCGGAUUGUGUGGCUGCGAUUGUUUACGCAGUUGCGGUUGUAUGAGAAGAACAGUAAAUCUUAUUAUUUAGA
rnacentral:rRNA from 1 species